CGGGAGUAUUCCAGAGUAUCGAUUUUCCACAGGGAACGUGAGUGUACUAAUUAAGAUCCAUGAUCACCCAACGAUAACUAUAUAAUUAUUUUUGGUGGGAAGAGAGGAAGUUUCCUAAGAGUUGUCUAGUUGAUCUAAGAAUCAAGAAUUACUUCAAGAUUUUCUAUAUCGGGACAUCAGAGCACUAACCACAGAAAGAGAUGAGAAGGGGGCUAGGAAGGUCUGACUAUGGUCCUACAAAAACCGAUCCGAACGAGGUGGAAUACGUCGACCGUUAGGGCUGUCACUACCCUAGGGCUACCACAACAAUCCGCAGGAUUGGGUGCAAUUUCAGGUAAUCGCAAGACUAAACACCACGUCUAAUCUAUUAAUUACUACUCUAGCGUUAUAA
rnacentral:lncRNA from 1 species